UACAGAGGGUGCGAGCGUUGUCCGGAAUCACUGGGCGUAAAGGGCGCGUAGGCGGCCUGAUACGUCGGGGGUGAAAUCCUGUGGCUUAACUGCAGGGCUGCCUCCUAGACUGUUAGGCUCGAGCACGGUAGAGGCAGAUGGAAUUCCCGGUGUAGCGGUGGAAUGCGUAGAGAUCGGGAAGAACAUCGGUGGCGAAGGCGGUCUGCUGGGCCGUUGCUGACGCUGAGGCGCGAAAGCGUGGGGAUCAAACAGG
rnacentral:rRNA from 1 species